rnacentral:misc_RNA from 1 species
GUUCUAAACGCCAUCCUCUAUCACCCGUCUGUCAUUUGAUCAUUCCCCACUAUCAUUCUCGUCCUCUGAAAAACCCUUCUCUCUUCCGCAUUUUUCCACUUCGCUUUCCCAAUACAGGUACUUCCUUCACUAUGAGCUUAACCUCUCUCAGGCUCGCAUCAAACCCCAUCACUUCCCCAAAGUGGGCCCACCGUCGGCUUCUCCCUCCUCGGAACGUCGUAGUAUGCUCCGUUAAAACUCCUCCCUCCUCGCCGUCGUUGAGUGUCGCCGAGUCUGCCACCAGCGACUCCCUAAGUCGUAUUGAAUCUCUCAGUCAAGUUUCCGGCGUUUUAGGUUGUCAGUGGGGCGAUGAAGGUAAAGGCAAACUCGUCGACAUCUUGGCUCAGCAUUUCGACGUCGUCGCUCGUUGCCAGGGUGGAGCCAAUGCUGGUCAUACCAUCUACAGUUCAGAGGGAAAGAAAUUUGCCCUUCACCUUGUUCCUUCGGGUAUUCUUAAUGAGGAUACUCUCUGCGUUAUUGGCAAUGGAGUUGUGGUGCAUCUUCCAGGUUUGUUUAAGGAGAUUGAUGGCCUGGAAUCUAAUGGUGUCUCGUGCGAGGGAAGGAUAUUGGUGUCGGACCGUGCUCAUCUGUUAUUUGAUUUCCAUCUAGAAGUAGAUGGGCGUAGAGAAGCUGAGCUUGCUAAAUCAUUUAUUGGCACUACUAGAAGAGGGAUCGGACCUUGUUACUCGAGCAAGGUGAUCCGCAAUGGCAUUAGAGUAAGUGACUUGAGGCACAUGGAUACUUUUCCUCAGAAGCUUGAUGUUUUAUUAUCAGAUGCAGCUUCAAGGUUCCAAGGUUUUAACUAUGGCCCAGAAAUGCUCAGGGAUGAAGUUGAGAGAUACAAGAGAUUCGCAGAGAGGUUGGAACCUUUCAUUGCAGAUACUGUGCAUGUUAUGAAUGAAUCCAUUGCACAGAAGAAGAAGAUUUUGGUUGAAGGUGGUCAAGCAACUAUGCUGGACAUUGACUUUGGAACUUAUCCCUUUGUGACUUCAUCUAGCCCGUCAGCUGGCGGGAUCUGCACUGGUCUUGGUAUUGCUCCAAGAGUCAUUGGUGAUCUCAUUGGAGUGGUGAAAGCAUACACUUCAAGGGUUGGUUCUGGUCCUUUCCCUACUGAGAUCUUGGGUCAUGGGGGUGACCUACUUAGGUUUGCUGGGCAGGAGUUUGGAACCACAACGGGCCGUCCUCGACGUUGUGGUUGGCUUGAUAUAGUUGCACUGAAGUACUGCUGUCAGAUUAAUGGCUUUUCUUCUUUGAAUCUCACCAAACUUGAUGUUUUAUCUGAUCUUCCUGAAAUUCAGUUGGGAGUUGCUUAUAAACAAAUGGAUGGUACUCCUAUUAAAUCAUUCCCAGCUGAUCUUCGUCUGCUUGAACAAUUGAAGGUUGAAUAUGAGGUUUUACCUGGAUGGAAGAGUGAUAUUUCUUCCAUUAGAAACUACUCAGAGCUUCCGAAGGCUGCACGUCAAUAUGUGGAGAGGAUAGAAGAACUCAUUGGUGUACCCGUCCAUUACAUUGGUGUUGGGCCUGGACGUGACGCUCUAAUAUUCAAGUAAUUUGACUGUUAUUUAUUUAGACAGCUCGGAUGCUAUGCUCGUGUGGUUGAGAAAAUUCUCAUUGUGCUGCAGCCUUUUAACCCCUUUAUGUCUGGGCAUAUUUUUGAACCAGAAUAAAAGUAUUUGUCAGGCCAAAUGAAUUUGAUGUACCUAUUCUGCCCUUUACAUCUGAUGUUUACUUUCAAUUGAAUGUCUAAUUAUAUUAAACCAUUAGAGAUGCAAGUUGAGUUACCGUUUGUUAAAAUGCUUGAUAAGCUUACACUAGUUUUUGCAGUUGUAAAUACCAAGGUAGGUUUUGGUUGCAAACUUCAAAUGCGCGGUUUGUCCUCAUGCCUAAACUUUCCAGGAAAUUUGACUCACUGAGGAAUCUUUUCUUAUGCAAAUACCUAUCAUGGUUUGACGACCACCUUCACCAAAAUUAUCAACAGCACAAUCUCUCUCAACCAUACCUCUUGGGCAUUUCUGUGCCCAGUAAAAACAUUGGAAUCUUUAAGUUAAAGCUGUAACUUGUCAGGGACGGGUCUGAUAGACCUCUCAAGAGGAAGAGAAGAAGAAGAUGAUUCAAGAAGAGAGAGACAGGGAGAGAGAUUGAGAGGAAAUUUGUUGUAUUAUUUGAUCAACGAAUGCUACAAAACAAUGCCUUUUUAUCUUAGUAAUUACAAUUACAUUUCUCGCCAUUCAUUGUCACCUCCUCCCAUCUAACUAAUUAACUGAUACACAACUGAUCAGCCAACUAAUUAACUUUAAUAGUGAAGCCCGGGCUCUUGAAUCAUAGCCACAAAUGAUAUGUUUCAAAAUCCGAGUGUUGUUCAACUAGAAAACACUCCAUUACUAAAAAAUGAUUCAUCAUCGCCAAUGGAGAGCUAUUAAGAAUGCCAUCUCUGUCAGCCUAU